rnacentral:rRNA from 1 species
UACGAGGGGUCCAAGCGUUGUUCGGAAUCACUGGGCGUAAAGCGGGUGUAGGUGGCUUUGCAAGUCAUAUGUGAAAGCCCUGGGCUCAACCCAGGAAGUGCAUGUGAUACUACAAAGCUUGAGUACUGGAGAGGAUGGUAGAAUUCCUGGUGUAGUGGUGAAAUACGUAGAUAUCAGGAGGAACACCGGUGGCGAAGGCGGCCAUCUGGCCAAGUACUGACACUCAGACCCGAAAGCCGUGGGGUAGCAAACAGG